UACGGAGGGGGGCUAGCGUUGUUCGGAAUUACUGGGCGUAAAGCGCGCGUAGGCGGACCUGCAAGUCGGGGGGUGAAAGCCCGAGGCUCAACCUCGGAACUGCCUUCGAUACUGCGGGUCUCGAGUCCGGGAGAGGUGAGUGGAAUUCCUAGUGUAGAGGUGAAAUUCGUAGAUAUUAGGAAGAACACCAGUGGCGAAGGCGGCUCACUGGCCCGGUACUGACGCUGAGGCGCGGAAAGCAUGGGGAGCAAACAGGG
rnacentral:rRNA from 1 species